UAGCCGUUGGAAACGACGAAUAAUACCCUAUGACAUAAACUCUUCGCAUGAGGAGCUUAUCAAAGAUUUAUCGGUGUAAGAUGGACUCGCGUCUGAUUAGCUAGUUGGUGAGGUAACGGCCCACCAAGGCGACGAUCAGUAGCCGGCUUGAGAGAGUGUACGGCCACAUUGGGACUGAGACACGGCCCAGACUCCUACGGGAGGCAGCAGCC
rnacentral:rRNA from 1 species